rnacentral:rRNA from 1 species
CGGCGGACGGGUGAGUAACGCGUGGGUAACCUACCCUGUACACACGGAUAACAUACCGAAAGGUAUGCUAAUACAGGAUAAUAUAUUUGAGAGGCAUCUCUUGAAUAUCAAAGGUGAGCCAGUACAGGGUGGACCCGCGUCUGAUUAGCUAGUUGGUAAGGUAACGGCUUACCAAGGCGACGAUCAGUAGCCGACCUGAGAGGGUGAUCGGCCACAUUGGAACUGAGACACGGUCCAA